rnacentral:rRNA from 1 species
GACGCAGGUGGCAAGCGUUAUCCGGAGUUACUGGGCGUAAAGAGUGCGGAGGCGGGCUGUUAAGUGCUUCGUGAAAUCUCCAGGCUAAACUUGGAGGGGACGAAUCAGACUGGCAGUCUGGAGGUGGGUAGAGGGGUGCGGAAUUCCGGGUGUAGCGGUGAAAUGUGUAGAUAUCCGGAGGAACACCAGAGGUGCAGACGGCGCCCUGGGCCCAACCUGACGCUGAGGCACGAAAGCUUGGGGAGCGAGCGGG